GAAUAUUGGACAAUGGGCGAAAGCCUGAUCCAGUCAUGCCGCCCGUGUGAAGAAGGUCUUCGGAUUGUAAUGCACUUUAUGCUGGGAGGAAGGGUUUUAUUUUACUACUCUGCACUUUUGACGCUACCGACCGAAGAAGCACCGGCUACCUUGUUCCCAGCACCCGCGGUAAUAGGAAGGGUGCAAGCGUUAAUCGGAUUUACGGGGCGGAAAGCGCGGGUAGGUGGUUUGUUAAGUUGGAAGUGAAAGCCACGGGCUCAACCUGGGAACUGCUUUCAAAACUGGCAAGCUAGAGUAUGGCAGAGGGUGGUGGAAUUUCCUGUGUAGCGGUGAAAUGCGUAGAUAUAGGAAGGAACACCAGUGGCGAAGGCGACCACCUGGGCUAAUACUGACACUGAGGUGCGAAAGCGUGGGGAGCAAAC
rnacentral:rRNA from 1 species